rnacentral:tRNA from 1 species
AUGAAUGGGCGGGCCUUGAUCCCACAAA